CCCUGGACGGUUCUUGGAGGUCGGUCUGAAGCCUUCGAGCCCUCCCACCGUUUUGCUUUCUCCUCAGCGUCUUCUACUUCAUGCCUAUGGUUCCUUCUGCUUCUUCUCGUUCUUCCCCUUGGUUGGGGCUGCCAUUACUUUUUAGGUUUAAACGAAAGGCUGUGAUGAUUUCUUGGACGAGGGUUUUGUACGUUAUGAAUCAGGGAACGGCAACGAGAUCUGGCCCGCCGCCAUUGUGCAGGCAGCCGUUUGAUUUGUUGUAGAUAGUCUUCAGGCGAACAACACAAUGCUGGAUUAAGCGAUUAAUCCGAUCUUCCCUUCCUUUCUUCGCUUUUCUGAUUUCUGCUUUUUUUUUUCCUUUUUCAAGAUUUGGUUUUUCUAAGGUUUCUUUAAUUUCUUUACUAUAAUUAUUUCUUCAGAUCAGUAGUUUUUUUGGCUUAUCAAGAAUUUAUAGGAUUUGAAGGCCGAUAAAAGACUCGGGUUAGGGAUUGCAUCAGUAGCGGCUGGGUUUUGGAGAACCCAAAUUCUCAAAUUUUCUAUUCCAGUCAUUGAAAAUUAGGGAUCCUUGCAUGGUAUUAGGGUUUAUAACAUUUUGAAAGGUUUUGGAUCUACUUCUUGUUUUAGUUAAUCUUUCUUUCUUUUUUAAGGUUUUGCAAAUAUUCCUUUUACCUUCAGUACUUUAUUAUUUCCCUUCUAAUUCUCUUUAGUGAUGAUAUCAUGAGAGACAACUUGAAAAAUCUUCAAUGCUGUCCUCCAUACCAAAGUCUACGUUCCUGUACCUACGUGGUUCCACAAGCUAGUUUCUCCACAGCUUCUUUUCUAACCUCGCCUGCUCAGGGUCCGAUGAGGUUUUGUGACAACUCAAGAUUUGUCUUGCUAUUAUUGUUUUUUUUUUUUUUUUGGAAAAAGACUCCUUUAUGAAGGUGUUGCAGGAACUCACAUAGAAGCUUAUAUUGGAACUGGUACCAUAUAAGGUUAUGGACUUCUACUUUCACUCGAUAAUGUUCUUGAUCUCAUUGAUAGUCAAUUUAACCCUUCAAUUGUUUGCGCUGAUGCUUUAUCUGCUUUUAUUUUUCUUACUCUUCCUUACCCUUUCAAUGGUCAUACUUUUCUUAUUCUUUAUUCAUGUCUUGUGCACAAAGGAUUUUCCGGUAAGUGCAGAAAGCAACAUACAAGAAUUGUCAACACCCCCACCUUUCUGAUUUGGCAAGUCAGCUUUAGUAUUACUGUUAUUUUGGUUAUAGAAAAUUCGUUCUUUUAGUUGUUAAUUCUUGAAAUAGUAGUUCUUGCUGAGAAGUUUUGGAUUUUUUUCCCCCUGCAUAGUGGCUGGAUUUAAUCGUUUUCACAGAGGUCAUACAACUGUCCGUCUAUGACCAAAGGUUUUUCUGGUAUCCCCAUUUUUCCUUUUCCUUUUUUCUAUUGAGCCUCCUUCAGAUAGUUAGAAUAUGAUAGCAAUAAAUUACUCUCAUGCAAAUUUUUGCAUAGAAUUUAGCAGUUGAUAUCUAAUGCCAAAAUGUCUUAUGACCGAUUUCCCUGCAUAUCCCUGGGCCAUGAAUUCUUGUGAAGUUUUCAACUAACAAUUUAGAAGUGCUGCAGAGUUUGAAAAUAACUUACAUGUUCUCAUUCUCUUAAAUAUUUUAUUUCAAAUUUGACAUCAUCAUUUAUUUCACUUCUUAAUGUCGAACAGUCACAAGUCAUAAAUUAUAUGUUUAUUUCACAUGAAUGCAUUCGGUCUAACAAAUUAUCAUAUUGUCACUCUGACAAGUUGAUGAACAGCACUAUAUGCUUCUCAAUAUGGUACAAAAUAUGAUGAAGGAUUUUGAUGUGGAUCUUGUUGAGAUUCAUAGUUUUAUGAGUCUUGUCUAUAAUGUGGUGCAGAAAUUUGAUAUUCUUAUGAUUAUGAUGCUAUAAUAUAAGUUACAUUUGCCUUUGUCUUGAUCUUUGAGCUGCCACAAGGUGGAUACGCCUGUAUUUUUGUGUUUGUGCAUGCACACGCAUAUGCUUGCAGUCAUAGCUAUUUGGGUUUGUUGACUUGUAAUGGUGGCGUUUUUUUUGGGUUAAUGUGGUGGCCUUUUGGUAUGUAUUUUUCUUGUUCUAACAGUAAUCCCUCGUUGCUUUUCUUUAUAUUGUAGAAGUUGCUCCCUGAGCUCUGCUUUGUGAGUUCUUUGUGUAAUGCAGGCGAGUUGCUUCUCUCUUUCUUAGUUUUAUCUGACCACGGGAGACGGUAUCCUUAUGUGCUAGACUAAAAACAUUGAACAUAAUUACCAUAACCAUCCAGCCUUAUCCCAACUGUUUGAAUGUAAUUGCAUUUACUUUUGUUUUAUGUAUAGAUGUAACCUCGAGGUUCAGUUUAUUCAGGUAGUUCAGCUUGUAAUGACUUUCUUUACAUGAACUCCAGUAUUCUGUGCAAUGAUUUUAAUUCUGUGGAAAGGCAAAAUAUUUCUAGUGACUGAUACUACCUUAUCAGGUUUUCCUGCAAGAUCAAGGUUUAUAUUUAUUUGUUUGGUUAUUUUAGCCAAUGUCUUUCUUUAAGUUGCUGGAUAUACAAUAUUUUUUUUCCUUUUUAGUAAGUGUAUGAGGUUCUUUCUUUUUGGAGAUAUGGAAGAAAGUUUUCCUCAUCUUUAUUUCUCUUCCCACCCUAGAGCACACCUACCUUUUUUUUGUCAUGCAGUCUUUAUGUGCGCAGUAACCUGUGUAAGGGCAAAUAAAAGUAUGAUAUACAACGUGAUCUUUUCUUUGUCUCCUUCAAGAUUAAGUAUGGAGUUUAAUGCAAAACGUGGUUGGGUAAAACUAUGGCUGAUGAAUAAAUGUUUGAACUAAAGCUUAAUAGUGACCUGUAGGCAGUCACUUUUUGCGUCUGUAAAUGUGCUGACAUCUCUAGAUGCUCUAUGAUGAUUGUUUCUAUAAAUUGGCUAUUUUUUUUCUAUAUCAUUUGGACUUCAUCGAAUGACACUUAAAAGUAUCAGUUGUGGAGAUUUCCGUGUUAUGCUAGUGCUAUUCUUUCGCUCUUAUUCUCUCAAUAAUUUGUAUGCAAGUAUAUAUGUAUGUAAUGAGGCAAUGGUGGCUGUCUUGUGGGGGCUACUUAUGAGAAUUGUUUGUGAUGGAAGACCACUGCAGAGAAAAUAGAGAAGGAAGAAGAAGAAGAAGAAAAGACGAGGAGAAGGGAGAAGAAGAGAAGAGGAGAAAGAGGCCAAUUUUAUUCAAUUCUUUAAUGCCCUAAUUCAUGAGAGGGGUGGCCUUUAUAUAGGUUUUACAUCAGGUCAAUCAAUUGGCGAUAUACCAAACUUGGACCCUUACAUCAACUCAAUCAAUUGACCAAGUCAAUUGAUUGAUUACAUACCAAAAUCGAUCCAAUCAUUCGAUCCAAUUACAUGACUUAACAGCUAACCUAAUUGAUUUAUUUAAUAACAAACAACUGACCAAGUUGACUUGAUUAAAAGCAAAUGACCAAAUUGACUCGAUCAAACAAAAGCAAAAUGCAGAAAAUAAAAUGACGCAGACUAGAUUGGACCCAAUCCUAGGCCCGACUCAAUCGGGUGGCUCAAAGUCAUCUUCCAGCCACAAUGAUGUCAAUCCCUGGUGCGAACACAAGUGAGUGGCUCUGAUGGCGCGAUCAUCUAAAUGAAUAGCUUUGAUGUCCCCAUCAACUCCUCCCAGAUGAAAAAAAUUUGACCUCGUCGAGGACAGAUUUAGUUGACUGUCGUACUGCUCCAGAAGAUCAGGGUCAAGACGAUGUAACGCAGCUCUCGAAAUUCAUGCACAUCAGACUCUAGUCGGCCUUUCCACCGAACAAGGUAACGUUGGUAUCCACCAUUCCUGGUUGACAUAAUCUGCUCAUCUAAUAUAUGUUCUAUUUGUUCUCUGCGUGCAUUAAAUUUUGGAGGUGGCGGCUUAACAACCGAUAACAGGUCUGGGUGAUCAACAAGGGCAGGGGUGUGUCAACAAAGGGGUCAGAAGGAAUAAUUGCUGUCUUUUUGUAGGGGACUAAAUCUUCAAUAUUAAAUGUUGUACUAAUUCUAUAGUCCUCAGGAAGAUUCACAACAUAAGCAUUCGAACUGAUUUUCUUCAGGACUUUGAACGGUCUCGCACUACGAGCUUGCAAUUUUUUGAACGUUUCCGAAGAAAGUCGUUCAGGCCUAAUUCGUAUCAUGACAUAAUCUCCUACACUUAGCUCUUGAUAACGUCUGUGCAAAUCAGCAAGAAAUUUAUAUUUUCAGUUAUUAAAGUGAAUGCUUUUGCUGAUUUCUUGAUGCAAUGAAUGCAGGUGCGAUGCAAAUGACUGUGUAGACUCAGACACUCUAUGCUGAUAAGAUAUGGGGAUCAGGUUUAUGGGCUGCCUAGGUUUGUAACCGUGCACCACUUCGAAUGGACUCAUGUUUAUGGACUUAUUGACCGAACUAUUAUAUGUAAACUCGGUUGUCGGUAAUACUAAAUUUCAGGUCUUAGCAUGUUCAUCGACAAGGCAUUUUAAUAGGUUUUCAAGACUACGACUGACAACUUCAGUCUGGCCAUCAGUUUGAGGAUGAUAAGCAGAAGAAAAUUUCAGCUUGAUGCCCAUCAUGUGCCAAAGAAUUUUUCAGAAGUAACUCAUAAUUUAAUAUUCCUAUCAGACACAAUAGAUUUGGGUAGGCCAUGGAGUCUAACGACUUUGUCGAAAUAGAGUUUGGUAAUUCUAGAGGCAUCGGAAGUCUUAGAACAGGAAAGAAAAUGAGCCAUCUUUGAAAAACGAUUCACAACCACAAAAAUGGAAUCAUGCUUGGUAGAAGUACGUGGAAGCCCUAACACGAAGUCCAUACUGACAACUUGCCAUGGACACUUGGAAAAAGGUAGUGGACUGUACAUACCAGUGUUCUGUUUACGUUGUUUAGCUAGAUGACAUGUGCGACACUGGCUGACAAUUUUGGCCACAUUUCUUUUGAGACUUGGCCAGAAGAAACGCCUCUCCACCAUUUCGAUGGUUGUCUCUCCCAAAAUGUCUGGAAAGUCCUUCAGCAUGUAUUUUUUUAUACUAUUAAAAUUUAUCAAUGGAGUUCGAGGGAUACACAAUCGGUUGGAGCAAAAGAAAUAAUCAUUUUGCAGAAAGAAAUCAUUUUGUUCUCUUUCUACUCCGUCCUGCAGGGUUAGGUAUAUUUUACUAAAGUCAGGACAAGUGGCAUAUUGUUUUCUGAUCCUCUCAAAGCCAAUCACUUCAGUGCUCAUCACGGAUAGGAGAAAGAUCCGUCGACUGAGUGCGUCAGUAGCUUUGUUCUCAACCUCAGCCUUGUGCUUCAAGACAAAGGUGUAAGCUUGGAGAAACUCGACCCAUCAGCCGUGUCUAUGGUUCAGUUUCUUUUGGGAGUUGAGAUAUUUUAACGCCUCGUGGUCUGAUAUUCUAAGGGUGUCUCUACUGAUUUUGAGAAGGUAAGCGCGAUAUUAGAUUGGCCUGAGCCUAAGUCUCUAUUGGAAGUACGUACUUUUUAUGGGUUGGCCACUUUGUACUGCCGCUUCAUUAGGAGCUUUAGUUCGAUAAUGUCUCCUAUCACUGAUUGCAUGAAGAAAGAAGACUUUAUCUGGAUAAAGUCUACAUCCCAAGCAUUUCACGAAAUUAAGAAAAGGAUGACAGAAGCUCCUGUCUUGCGCCUCCCUGAUUUCACAAAAGUAUUUGAGGUCACUUGUGAUGCCUCUGGCGUUGGUAUAGGUUGCGUGUUAAGCCAAGAAGGUCAUCCUGUUGCAUUCUUCAGUGAAAAGUUAAACGAUAGUAGGUUACGUUACUUUACCAAUGACAGAAUUCUUUGCGGUAGUGCAAGCCUUGCGAUAUUGGCUACACUAUUUGCUACCACGAGAGUUUGUCUUAUAUUCCGACCACGAGACUUUAAAAUAUCUCAACCUACAAAAAAACUGAACCAUAGACAUGGCUAAUGGGUCGAGUUUCUCCAAGCUUAUAUCUUUGUCUUGAAGCACAAGGCUGGAGUUGAGAACAAAGCUGCCGACGCGCUCAGUCGACGGAUCUUCCUCCUAUCUGUGAUGAGCACGGAAGUAAUAUGCUUUGAGAGGAUCAGGGAACAGUACGUCUCUUGUCUGGAUUUUAGAGAAAUAUACCUGACCCUGCGUGAUGGAGUGGAUCGAAACGAACGAUUUCUUUCUGCAAAAUGAUUCUCUUUCAAUCCAAUCGAUUGUGUAUUCCUCGAACCUCAGUGAGAGAUUUUUUAAUAUGGAAAAUAUAUGUUGGAGGACUUUCUGGACAUUUUGGGAGAGACAAAACUAUCGAAAUGGUGGAGAGGCAUUUUUUCUGGCCAAGUUUCAAAGAGACGUGGCCAAAAUUGUCAGCCAGUGUCGCACCUAUCUUCUAGCUAAACAACGUAAACAGAACGCUGGUCUGUACACUCCACUACCUGUUUCCGAGUGUCCAUGGCAAGAUGUCAGUAUGAACUUCGUGUUAGGGCUUCCACGUACAUCUACCAAGCACAAUUUCAUUUUUAUGGUUGUGGAUUGCUUCUCAAAGAUGGCUCAUUCUCUCCUGUUCUAAGACUUCUGAUGCCUCUAGAAUUGCCGAACUCUAUUUUGAUGAAGUCGUUAGACUUCAUGACCUUCCUAAAUCUAUUGUAUCUGAUACGGACGUUAAAUUUAUGAGUUACUUUUGAAAAAUCCUUUGGCACAUGAUGGGCACCAAACUGAAAUUUUUCUCUGCCUACUAUCCUCAAACCGAUGGCUAGACUGAAGUUGUCAAUCGUAGCCUUGGAAAUUUGUUGAGAUUUCUGGUAGGUGAACAUGCUAGGACCUGGGAUUUAGUGUUACCGACAGCUGAGUUUGCAUAUAACAAUUCUGUCAACAAGUCCAUAGGCAUGAGUCCGUUUGAAGUAGUGUACGGUUACAAACCUAGGCAGCCUAUAGGCCUGAUCCCCAUGUCUCAUCAACAUGGAAUGUCCAAGUCUGCACAGUCAUUUGCAUCGCCACCUCUAAAAUUUCAUGCACGCAGAGAACAAAUAGAACAUAUAUUAGAUGAGCAGAUUAUGUCAACCAGGAACGGUGGAUACCAACGCUACCUUGUUUGGUGGAAAGGCCGACCAGAGUCUGACGUGACGUAGAUUUUUAAAGUCGAGUUGCAGCGCCUUGACCAUGAUCUUCUGGAGCAGUACGACAGCCGGCCAGAUCUGCACCUGACGGGGUCGAGUUUUUUCUACUUGGAAGGAGUUGAUGGGGACAUCAGAGCCGCUCGGUCAGACGAUCGAGCCAUUAGGGCCGCUCGUUCGCGUUCGCACUAGGGGUUGACAUUAUUAUGGCUAAGAGAUGAUCUUGAGCCACCGAUUUGAGUCAGGCCCGGAUUGGAUCCAUUUGAGUCUGCUUCAUUUUUAUUUUCUGCAUUUUACUUUUGUUUGAUCGAGUCAAUUGGGUUAUUUGCUUUUAGUCAAGUCAAUUUGGUCAGUUGUUUUGUUAUUAGACAAGUCAAUUGAGUUAGCUGUUAAGUCAUGUAAUUGAGUCGAGUGAUUGGAUUGAUUUUGGUAUGUAAUCAAUCAAUUGACUAAGUUAGUUGAUUGAGUUGAUGUUAGGGUACAAGUUUGGUAUGUCGUCAAUUGAUUGACCUGAUGUAAGGCCUAUAUAAAGGCCACUCCUCUCAUGAAUUAGGGCAUUGAAGAAUUGAAUAAAAUUGGCCUCUCUUUCUCCUCUUUCCUCCACUUCUAUUCUUCUUCCUUCUCCUCCUCUUUUCUUCUUCCUCUUCCUUCUCUAUUCUCUCUGCAGUGGUCCUCCAUCCUCCAUCAGUUUCUCAGGAAACUGACCUGCAACCAUUGUUAAAAAUUUUGAGGUUGCAAGGGAGGCAAAUCUUCUGGUCUUCCUCCAAGCCUCAAAUCCUAGAUCCGUGGUUUGUUUAAUGCUUGACUUGUGCGUGUCUCCUCUGACAACAGGCAAUGCAACUCUGGAGGAUCUGCUGGCUCAAUGCAGCCAUUGUUAAAUUGUCCUGUUUGAUUGAAGGAAGGAUUUCUAUGACCCCCAAAUCCUAAUGAUGUGGUUGGUUUUCUUUCUCAAACUUAUGCUAAGGCUUUUGAAUGGUUGGUUGCUUUGAAGUGUUGGUGCUUGUGAUCCUGGUGAUGUGAUGCUUCUUUCUUUCUUUGUUUCUUCUCUCUUGCUUUGAAGUAGUGUUAUUGUUGCUGCUUUUGUUUGAGAGGUUGGUUCUUUUGGUGCUUGUGAUCAUGGUGAUGCCAUGCUUCUUUCUUUUUUUUGUUUCUUUUCUCUCUUGCUUUGAGUGUUGCUGGUGUUGGUGUUAUUAUUGUUGUUGCUGCUAUUGUUGGCGAUGUUGUUGUUGGUGCUGAUGUUGUUGUUUUUACUGCUACUGCUGGUGUUGUUUCUGCUGCUAUUGUUGUUGCCAUGGUAUGCCGUACUAGCUUAAACCAGACGGUACAGGGGACACCGAACCAUAUCAGUUUGGUACCAAUACUCGGUACGGGUGGCGUACAGGCUUUUGGUACGUCAAAAAAAUCUCGUACCGUACCGUAUCGACACUGUGCUAGUGUGGCAUCGGUAUGUGGUUUGGUUCUGAGACGGCGAACCUUGGUUGUUGCUGUUAUUGGUGUUGUUUUUGCUGUUGUUGCUGUCAGUGCUGUUAAUGAUGAUAUUCUUAUUGCUAUUGUUCUUGUUCUUGUUCUGCUGCUGCUGCUGCUAUUCUUGGUGUUAUUGUUGUUGUUGCUAUUGCUGCUGCUGUUGCUGUUCUUGGUGUUGUUAUUGAUGUUGUUGCUAUUGCUGCUGCUGCUGCUGCUGCUGUUCUUGGUGUUGUUAUUGCUGUUGCUGCUAUUGCUGCUAUUGCUGCUGCUGCUGCUCUGCUGUUGUUGCUGUUAUUGUUCUUUGAGAUGGGUAAAUUCAUUCUCUCUCUCUGUUGCUGUUAUUGUUCUUUUACCUUGUUUCUUUGCUUCUUGAUUUCUUUGCGGUUAGGAUGAGGGUUUUUCUACAUUGUGGAGUGGAAAAUGGCUUCUUCUAAUAGCAAGGCAAUCUUGAAUGGUUUGCUGCUGUUCUCCAGACAACUGGAUGCUGCCGUCAGGGUUUAAUUGUGGAGAGUCUUCAGACUAACAACUCAAUGCUACAUUAAACAAUGAAUCUGAGCCUCCUCUUCCUCUUCCCUUUUAUGGCUGUAACGAUUUCUGUUUGUUUUUUAAGAAUUUGCUUGCUUAAUUUUUUAACUGUUUUUUAUUUCUUUUGAUGAGUUAUUUACAUGUCUUUUAAUGAAAGAUUCUCAGACGUUUAUUUUGGUUGUGGUAAAUUAGGUACUUUUGUUCAGUAUCAUGAUUCUCAAAUAUGUUUUCAUUUUUUUAUUUGUCUUCUCUUGCUUCUGUUCUUCAAUUUCUUGCUGUUAGAUUUAUAAGAAGAAACCGUGAUGACUGGGUGAAGGUUUGAUGCAUUAUGAAGCGGGAAACAACUAUUUCUGACAGAAAGGCAAACUUGAAUGGUAUUCUGUCCCGCUGGCAUCUGAUUUGCAGCCAUUUCAAUUCAGUUGCAGGGAAUUCUAAACUAAGUAAUGUUUGGAUGACUUUGAGCAUGCUCUUCCUUUCCCCUUUCUCUGUUAGAUUUAUAAGAAGAAACCGUGAUGACUGGAUGAAGAUUUGAUGCAUUAUGAAGCAGGAAACAACUAUUUCUGACAGAAAGGUAAACUUGAAUGGUUUUCUAUCCUUGCAGCCAUUUCAAUUCAGUUGCAGAGAAUUCUAAGCUAAAUAAUGCUUGGAUGAAUUUGAGCAUCCUCUUCCUUUCCCCUUUUUCUGUUAUUUUGGUUUUCUUCAAGAUUUUGGUUUUUAACGUUGCUUUGAUUUCAUUAAUAUUAUUUAUGUUUCUGAUCAGUUGUUCCUGUGUUUUUUAAUGAACAGUUCUCUUUUUUUUGGUUGUUGAAAAUAAGGAAUCAUUUGCUCAGUAUCAAGGUUCUAUAAUGUUGUUUUUAGUUUUUGAAUCUACCGUUUCCAUCACUUGUCCUCGGUAUUCUCGACUCAUCUUAUUUGCUUUUACAUUUUUUUUAACACCAUAUUUUCCUAGGAGACAGGUUUUGGUCUUGCAUGGUUUCCUUUUACCUCCAGCACGCUUUAUUCUGUUCCUUUCUUUUUCUUGACUAAUAAUAUGACAAAAGACAAUGUGAGAAACUCCAAUGUCCUAUUCUAGGAUGCUGUACUAACCGGGUUCCAUAAGCAGGUUUCUGUAGCACUUUUCUUCCAACAUGGCAAGCUUAGAGGCUGCCCAGGGUUUGUGACAACUUCAAGCUGUAUCUUGUUAUCAUUAUUUUUCUAGAAUCCUUUAUGCAGGAGUUACAAGUUCCCUGCAUAGAAAUUUCUCUGUUGCUGGUAUUACAUGAGGUGAGCCACUUCAACUUUUCCUUGAUGAUGUCCUUAAUCUCAGUAACAGUCAAUACCAUCCUUGAAUUAUUUAUGCUGCUGCUCUAUCAAAAUGUUGCUAAUUUGCUCUUUUUUUGGCAGGAAGUGGUAAUUUGCUUUACUUAUAUUUUUGUACACUUCAAGCACCUGGAUCAUAUUCCCUAUCCAUAUUGUUCCGGAAUGCUGAACUUGUGACUGACCAUGAUUAGCUUUAAGAUUUGUUAUUUGCUCCUCAAGAAGCUCUUAUGAUCUGCAGGGCAAGGACUGAUUAUGCUGCAAAGUGGAAAUAACAAUGGCUUAUACAUCUACCUCUAACAGUAAGACAAGCUUGGACUGUCUGCUAAUUUGCGGACAGCCAGUUGCAGCUUUUUGCAGAUAGGAUGCCUGAGAAAUUGGCUGGUAAAAGUUUUGGAAUUUUUUUUCCCUGCUUAAUGACUGGAUUUAAUUGUUUUCACAGAGGUCAUACAACUGUCUGGCUAUGACCAAAGGUUUUUCUGAUAUCCACAUUUUUCCUUUUCUUUUUUUUCUGUUGAGCCUCCUGCAGAUAGUUAAAAUAUGAUAACAUUAAAUUAUUCUCAUGCAAAUUUUUGCAUAGAAUUAAGCAGUUGAUAUCUAAAGCGAAAAUAUCUUAUAACUGAUUUCCCUGCAUGUCCCUGGGACAUGAAUUCUUGUGAAGUUUUCAACUAACACUUUAGAAGUGCUGCAGAGUUUGAAAAUAACUUACAUAUUCUCAUUCUCUUAAAUAUUUUAUUUCAAAUGUGACAUCAUAUUUUUCACUUCUUAAAGCCGAACAGUCACUAGUCAUAAAUUAUAUGUUUAUUUCACAUGAAUGCAUUCGGUCUAACAAAUUAUCAUCUUGUCACUCUGACAAGUUGAUGAGCAGCACUAUAUGCUUCUCAAUAUGGCACAAAAUAUGAUGAAGGAUUUUGAUCUGGAUCUUGUUGAGAUAGUUUUGAGUCUUGUCUAUAAUGUGGUGUGGAAAUUUGAUAAUUCUUAUGAUUUUUGAUACUAUAAUAUAAGUUAUAUUUGCCUUUCUCUUGAUCUUUGAGCUGUCACAAGGUGGAUACACCUGUAUUUUUGUGUUUGUGCAUGCACACACAUAUGCUUGCAGUCAUAGCUAUUUGGGUUUGUUGACUUGUACUGGUGGUGUUUUUUUUGGUUACAUGUGGUGGCCUUUUAGUAUGUAUUUUUCUUGUUCUAGCUGUAAUCCCUUGUUGUUUUUCUUUAUAUUGUGCAAGUUGCUCCCUGAGUUCUCCUUAGUGAGUUCCUUGUGUAAUGCUGGCAAGUUACUUCCCUCUUUUUUAGUUUUAUCUAACCACGGGAAAUAUUAUCCUUAUGUGCUAGACUAAAAACAUUGAACAUAAUUACCAUAACCAUCCAGCCUUAUCCCAACUGUUUGAAUGUAAUUGCAUUUACUUUUGUUUUAUGUAUAGAUGUAACCUCGAGGUUCAGUUUAUUCUGGUAGUUCUGCUUGUAAUAACUUUCUUUACAUGAACUCCAGUAUUGCAAUGAUUUUAAUUCUGUGGAGAGGCAAAAUAUUUGUAGUGACUGAUACACGCCUAUCAGGUUUUCCUGCAAGAUCAAGGUUUAUAUGUAUUUGUUUGGUUAUCUUAGCCAAUGUUUUACUUUAAGCCGCUAGAUAUAUAAUUUUUUUUCCUUUUUUAGUAAGUGUACGAGGCUCCUUCUUUUUGGAAAAAAAAAUCUGCUUUAGAAGAAAGAAAGUUUUCUUCAUAAUUAUUCUCUUCUCACCCUAGAGCACACCUACCUUUUUUUGUUACGCAGUCUUUAUGUGCACGGUAACCUGUGUAGGGGCAAAUAAAAGUAUGAUAUACAACGUGAUCUUUUGUCUGUCUCCUUCAAGAUUAAGUGUGGAGUUUAAUGCAAGAAGUGGUUGGGUAAAACUUUGGCUGAUGAAUAAAUUUUUGAACUAAAGCUUAAUAGUGACCGGUAGGCACUCACUUUUUGCGGCUGUAAAUGUGCUGACAUCUCUAGACUCUCUAUGACGCUCCUGGCUAUUGUUUUCUAUAAAUUGGCUAUUUUUUUCUAUAUCAUUUGGACUUCAUCGAAUGACACUUAAAAGCAUCAGUUGUGGAGAUUUCCGUGUUAUGCUAGUGCUAUUCUUUCUCUCUUAUUUCUCUCAAUAAUUUGUAUGCAAUUAUAUAUGUAUGUAAUGAAGCAAUGGUGGUUGUCUUGUGAGGGCUAUUUAUGAGAAUUGUUAGCCCAUUUCCUUGUCUCUGAAUGUCUUCUAAAAUGGUAGGCGAAGCAACUCGAGGGUUUCUUAGGCAACUGACCUGCAACCAUUGUUAGAGAUUUUAAGGCUGGAAGGGGGAGGCAGAUCUUCUGUUUCCAGGCCUCAAACCCUAGAUCUGUGAUUUGUGCGUGUCUUCUCUGACAACAGGCAAUGCAACUCUGGAGGAUCUGCUGCUCAAUGCAGCCAUUGUUAGAGAUCAUGGGCUGGAAAGGGGAGGCAGAUCUUCUGUUUCCAGGCCUCAAACCCUAGAUCUGUGAUUUGUGCGUGUCUUCUCUGACAACAGGCAAUGCAACUCUGGAGGAUCUGCUGCUCAAUGCAGCCAUUGUUAGAGAUCAUGGGCUGGGAGGGGAGGGAAAUUGUCCUGUUUGAAGGAUUUCUAUGAGCCCAAAACCCUAAAUCUGUGAUUGAUUUCUCUCUCGAACUUAUGCUAAGGGUUUUGGGAGGUUGGUUGCUUUGAAGUGUCGGUGCUUGUGAUACUGGUGAUGUGAUGCUUCUUUCUUUGUUUGUUUCUUUUUCUCUCUUGUUUUGAAGUAAUGUUAUUGUUGCUGCUGUUGUUUGAGAGGUUGGUUGUUUUGGUGCUUGUGAUCAUGGUAAUGUGAUGCUUCUUUUUUUGUCUCUCUCUCUCUUGCUUUGAAGUAGUGUUGCUGUUGUUUGAGAGGUUGGUUGCUUUGGUGCUUGUGAUCAUGGCGAUGCAAUGCUUCUUUUUUUCUUUCUUUUCUCUCUUGCUUUGAAGUGUUGUUGGUGUUGGUUUUAUUGUUGCUCUUGCUGCUACUAUUGUUGCUGCUGGUGUUGCUGUUGCUGCUGCUGCUGCUGGUGCUGUUGCUAUUGUUAUUGGUGUUGUUUUUGCUGUUGCUGCUGCCAUUGUUAUUGCUAUUGCCGGUGCUGUUACUGUUGCUAUUUUUAUUGGUGUUGUUCUUGCUGCUGGUGCUUUUGUUAUUGCUGCUGCUGCUACUCUUGCUGUUUCUGUUAUUAUUGCUGCUGCUUUAAUUGUUCUUUGAGAUGGGUAAAUUCAUUCUCUCUCUUUGUUCUUUGCUUUCUUUUUCCUUAUUUCUGUUACGGUUAGGAUGAGGGUUUGUCUAUGUUAUGGAGUUGAAAACAGCUUGUUCUAAUAGCAAGCCAUCUUGGACGAUUUGCUGCUGUUCUCCAGGCAACUGGACGCAGCCGCCUGGGCUUAGUUGUGGAGAGUCUUCAGACUGACAACUCAAUGCUACAUUAAACAAUGAAUCUGAGCCUCCUCUUCCUCUUCCCUUUUAUGGCUGUACUAAUUUCUGGUUAUUUCUCCAAGAAUUUGCUUGCUUUAAUUUCAAAGUAAAACUAUGGCUGAUGAAUGAAUGUACAAAAUAAACUACGGUUAUUUUUUUAAGAAUUUGCUUGCUUUAAUUUUCUUCCGUUUUAUGGCUGUACUAAUUUCCGGUUACCGUGCAGUCUUUAUGUGCACAGUAACCUGUGUAAGGGCAAACAAAAGUGUGAUACACAAAAUGGUCUUUUCUUUGUCUCUUCCAAGGUUAAUUGUGGAGUUUGAUGCAAGAAGGGGUUGGGUAAAACUAUGGCUGAUGAAUAAAUGUUUUAACUAAAGUUUGAUAGUGACCUAUAGGCAGUCAUUUUUCGUGUCUGUACAUCUCUCGACACUCUAUGAUGCUCCUGGCUAUUGUUUUCUAUAAAUUGGCUAUUUUUUCUGUAUCAUUUGUACUUCAUGGAAUGGCACUUUAAAGUAUCUGUUGUGGAGAUUUCCAUGUUAUGCAAGUGCUCUUCUUUCUUUCUUCUUCCCUCAUUAAUUGUAGGCAAGUAUAUAUGUAUGUAAUGAGGCAAUGGUGGCUAUCUUGUGAGGGCUAUUUAUGAGAAUUGUUAGUUAGCUCAUUUCCUUUCCUCUGAAUGUCUUCUACAAUGAUAGGCGAGGCAACUUGAGGGUUUCUCAGGAUACUGACCUGAAACCAUUGUUAAAAGAUUUUGAGGGUGCAAGGGAGGCAAGUCUUCUGGUCUUCCUCCAAGCCUCAAACCCUAGAUCCGUGGUUUGUUUAAUGCUUCACUUGUGCGUCUCCUCUGACAACAGGCAAUGCAACUCUGGAGGAUCUGCUGGCUCAAUGCAGCCAUUGUUAAAUUGUCCUGUUUGAUUGAAGGAAGGAUUUGUAUGAGACCCUGAAUCUAAGUACCAGUCACACAAAAAUUAUAUGUCCAUGAGUUUGUAAGUUAUGAAAUUAACAUGUUUCUGUAAUCUUUAUUGUUUAUUCAAGGAUUAAAAGGUGAAAAA